rnacentral:rRNA from 1 species
CAGCCGCCGCGGGAAUACGUAGGGUGCGAGCGUUAAUCGGAAUUACUGGGCGUAAAGCGAGCGCAGACGGUUACUUAAGCAGGAUGUGAAAUCCCCGGGCUCAACCUGGGAACUGCGUUCUGAACUGGGUGACUAGAGUGUGUCAGAGGGAGGUAGAAUUCCACGUGUAGCAGUGAAAUGCGUAGAGAUGUGGAGGAAUACCGAUGGCGAAGGCAGCCUCCUGGGAUAACACUGACGUUCAUGCUCGAAAGCGUGGGUAGCAAACAGGAUUAGAUACCCCGGUAGUCCCUGUCUCUUAUAC